rnacentral:rRNA from 1 species
GACGUAGGGCGCGAGCGUUGUCCGGAUUUAUUGGGCGUAAAGGGCGCGUAGGCGGCUACGCACGUCCGUUGUGAAAUCGCUCGGCUCAACUGGGCGGGGUCAGCGGAUACGGUGUAGCUGGAGCAAGCUAGGGGGCAAUGGAAUUCCCGGUGUAGUGGUGGAAUGCGUAGAUAUCGGGGAGGAACACCAGUGGCGAAGGCGGUUGCCUGGAGCUUUGCUGACGCUGAGGCGCGAAAGCGUGGGGAGCGAUCCGG